GUGGGAGAGGCCUCAAGUCCUCCUAAGAAAUCUUCAGAUGGUUUUCUAGUUGCAAGGCUCAGCAUGUCAUAGUCUCUGGCUUUUUCAAAAGCCAUAUACACCUCAGAGGUCUGGAGGUGGAGAAGAACUCCUGGAUGCACGACUUCACAACAAAAACCAUAGCAAGCUCAGGGCUCGCGUAGGCAUCUGUGGACUGCGAACGGAGAGCAAGCGUCCCUGCUCCACUCCAGCAAGCGCAACGCCAGCAGUACGUUUAGCCUGAGAAACCAAGGACCCAACCAGCACCCCACCCGAGGCUCCGUCUCUGUUCACGCUCACUCAUUUUAAAGGCUUAUUUUUGAAUGAGUCACGUAUGUAUGUGUCUGUGUGUGGGUUUGUGUACAGAAGUGGCCGUGCCCACAGAGAUUAGGAGGGGGUGUCAGAGCCUCGGGAGCUGCCUACUGUGGGUGCUGGAACUGACUUGGGCCCUCUACAAAAGUAGUCUUCUUAGCUGCUGAAUCAACUCUCCAGCCCUCAUUCAUUCUGUCUUCUUCAUACAGAUCUGCGCUGAGGGCGGUGAUCUCAGCUACACUCAUGGUUCCCUAGUGAUAGAUCUAGAGUUUGUACUGAAGGCUAUCAAAUAGCACUGCUGUGAAUUAAAAUCCUGUUCAUUUUGCUUAA